UAUUACCUUGGCUAACCCAAUACUGUGGAAAAAGGCCAAAAGGAAUAAUGGCGAUAAAUGUAAAACUUAUAUACUUGAAGAACAAGAGGCGCUAAUAUAUUGCUGUAUAAGAAGAUAUCUAAAAUAAAAACAAAGUGAUUUCAAAAUUAAAGCCGUAAACAGAGCUCAAAUUACACAAUUUCCAAAUAGCAAAGGGAAACUUCUUGCAGCACAAAAAUAUCAUUAACUACCAUUACAGGUAAAAUAAAUAAAACCCAAAUUAUGCUAGCAAGAGCAAGCAAAAAUGGAAGCCAGUUAACAUACAAAAAACAUAAGUUCGUAGCAACAGAAUCAUAUGAAGCUAAGGCUCUGUAUCAUAUAUCCAAUUAUCAAUUUAUUGCUAUAGCCAAGUAAAGAUCCUCAAGAACAAGUUGAAAUCAAGCAUCAGCAAGCAGCAUUAACCAAAAUAAAAAGGGUUUCUUUUUAAUUUUG
rnacentral:misc_RNA from 1 species